CAGUUCAGACUGCAGGCUGCAACUCGCCUGCACGAAGUCGGAAUUGCUAGUAAUCGUAGGUCAGCAUACUACGGUGAAUACGUUCCCGGGCCUUGUACACACCGCCCGUCAAACCAUGAGAGUUGGCAACACCCGAAGUCGGUAGUCUAACCGCAAGGAGGACGCCGCCGAAGGUGGGGUUGAUGGUUAGGGGUUAAGUCGUAACAAGGUAAC
rnacentral:rRNA from 1 species